UUUAGAGAGAACCGCAGGAGUGAAGUGAGAAAGAAGAAGAAGAGAAAAGAGGGGAAAAUAAGGGAAAAAGGAAAGGAGUUGGAGGAAAUAAGUAAAAAGGGAUAAUCCUGAUAUUCUACCGGCGGGACGUCAGUAGGAUUUUCUUCGAUAUCAGCUUUGAGUUUUGUUGCUUUCGAGUCAGGUGA